AAUGGUUUGGUCCCAUUUUGAAAAUGGUGUAAACAUUUUAUUAUUUUGAUAAAAAAAAUUACAAGCGAUAUUUUACACUAAUCUAUAUUAAGAGGAGGGGUGAAUUUGAACUCGGGACACAAUAAGUUAAAGAGAAAGACCCUAACCACUAGGGCAAUUCAUCACUUGACUCAUACUAUUUUUUUAGUAGAUCGAUAACGUUAAUAGGUUAUAUAGUUAGUUGUCACGAGAGAAGAAAGCGAUAGAGAUCAAAUCCAUAUCAGAGUGUACAUAUAUGAUUGCCUUGUGCUACUAUGGUAAAGCAUCAUCUGUCAUACUAUUUUGAAUCAACUUCGUCUAUUUUUCUUUGUUUUCAAUAUCAAAUGUUUGUUAGCUACCUACCCAUUGUGGGCAGGGUGUACCUUGUGAUGAGUCUAGCACUGAAUUCAACUGCUUAUACGACAAAUUACUUUAAUGUUUAGUCUAGCUACAAACACGUGCUACAAGGUUAAGCCCCUCUAUUUUAAUUUCAUAACGCAUUAUUCACCCAACUUGGCUAGAGUUGGUAAGUCCUCCUAAGUUAUCGUAUACAUAGAAUGGAAUUUUGAAAUAGAUCGUUCUAUAGUAUGAAUCAAGUGAAUAAACGUCCAAAUGGGUGACUAAUGACAUUGAUUAUCUGAGAGUCGGCCUCUUGGAACAUUGAUCUCAUUAGUUCUUUAUUUCCUCCUUGCGAGGCAUCCUUGAUUCUUUCAAUCCUGUUAAGUCGCAGAUUGCCUUUAGAUUACCUGAUGUGGCAUUAUGAUUCUAAUGGGCCGUUCUAUGUCAAAAGUUCUUAUAAGGUUGUCAUCUCUUUGUGUGAUCUUGCUUCCCAAUCCAAUCAAAGCACAAUUGAUACCUCUACCUGGAACAAACUCUGGAGAGCCUCAGUAAGGUCAAAAUCUGUGCUUGGAAGGCUUGUCUCAAUGUCCUUC
rnacentral:lncRNA from 1 species